rnacentral:rRNA from 1 species
UACGUAGGGGGCAAGCGUUGUCCGGAAUUAUUGGGCGUAAAGCGCGCGCAGGCGGCGAUGUAAGUUGGGUGUUUAAACCUAGGGCUCAACCUUGGGUCGCAUCCAAAACUGCAUCACUUGAGUGCAGAAGAGGAAAGUGGAAUUCCACGUGUAGCGGUGAAAUGCGUAGAGAUGUGGAGGAACACCAGUGGCGAAGGCGACUUUCUGGGCUGUAACUGACGCUGAGGCGCGAAAGCGUGGGGAGCGAACAGG